UACGGGGGGAGCAAGCGUUGUUCGGAUUUACUGGGCGUAAAGGGCGCGUAGGCGGCCUGUUAAGUCGAACGUGAAAUCCCCGGGCUCAACCCGGGAACUGCGUCCGAUACUGGCAGGCUUGAAUCCGGGAGAGGGAUGCGGAAUUCCAGGUGUAGCGGUGAAAUGCGUAGAUAUCUGGAGGAACACCGGUGGCGAAGGCGGCAUCCUGGACCGACAUUGACGCUGAGGAGCGAAAGCUAGGGGAGCAAACGGG
rnacentral:rRNA from 1 species